AACGAACGCUGGCGGCAUGCCUAACACAUGCAAGUCGAACGAGACCUUCGGGUCUAGUGGCGCACGGGUGCGUAACGCGUGGGAACCUGCCCUUAGGUUCGGAAUAACUCCCCGAAAGGGGUGCUAAUACCGGAUAAUGUCUUCGGACCAAAGAUUUAUCGCCUUUGGAUGGGCCCGCGUUGGAUAAGCUAGUUGGUAGGGUAAAAGCCUACCAAGGCGACGAUCCAUAGCUGGUCUGAGAGGAUGAUCAGCCACACUGGGGCUGAGACACGGCCCAGAAUCCUACGGGAGGGAGCAGAGGGGAAUAUUGGACAAUGGGCGAAAGCCUGAUCCAGCAAUGCCGCGUGAGUGAUGAAGGCCUUGGGGUUGUAAAGCUCUUUUACCCGGGAUGAUAAUGACAGUACCGGGAGAAUAAGCUCCGGCUAACUCCGUG
rnacentral:rRNA from 1 species